AGCAGAGAUGCUUUGGUGCCUUCGGGAACUCUGAGACAGGUGCUGCAUGGCUGUCGUCAGCUCGUGUUGUGAAAUGUUGGGUUAAGUCCCGCAACGAGCGCAACCCUUAUCCUUUGUUGCCAGCGGUCCGGCCGGGAACUCAAAGGAGACUGCCAGUGAUAAACUGGAGGAAGGUGGGGAUGACGUCAAGUCAUCAUGGCCCUUACGAGUAGGGCUACACACGUGCUACAAUGGCGCAUACAAAGAGAAGCGACCUCGCGAGAGCAAGCGGACCUCAUAAAGUGCGUCGUAGUCCGGAUUGGAGUCUGCAACUCGACUCCAUGAAGUCGGAAUCGCUAGUAAUCGUAGAUCAGAAUGCUACGGUGAAUACGUUCCCGGGCCUUGUACACACCGCCCGUCACACCAUGGGAGUGGGUUGCAAAAGAAGUAGGUAGCUUAACCUUCGGGAGGGCGCUUACCACUUUGUGAUUCAUGACUGGGGUGAAGUCGUAACAAGGUAACCGUAGGGGAACCUGCGGUUGGAUCACCUCCUUA
rnacentral:rRNA from 1 species